AUCCAUCCGUUUCAUGCACUAAAUUGCCUGUGCAGAGAUUCGUAAAUACACACGAUAAUUAUACGAAUGUGAUAGAAGCACGAUAAUAAUCGGUUAUUUUAAACUUCGAGCGACGAGAGAGAAUAUCUUACAAUAGAUAAAGAAUUAUUGCGAGAAUAUUUAAUAAAUUGAAAAUUCACUUACCGCUUAAAAGAGUAAAAGUAAUGGCAAACAAUGGUUCACUUGGCUGUUUUGAUAUGGCGCUGAUGUCUACUUGAAAACGGACUUGUCUUUGAAACAUGGCCGGCGCUGUACUACCCCUCUUGUAUUCCACUUUGAAGGACAUGGGUGAGCUUACACUGUGAGAUAACUCUGCUAUCUGUUGAUCAAAACUUGCUUGUUUUUUAUAUGAAUUUAAGAAAUUUAAAACAUACACUAUUGAUCAAAAAUUUGAUACACUUGUUCUUUUUUUUUCGAUAUUGUUAAUGACACAUUAUAAACUACACAUUAUGAAAAUAUAGUAGGUAAAAUAUAAUAUAUAAUAAUAUAUAAUCUAUAAUAAUGUAAUUAAAAAAUAUAUAUAUCUAAAAAAAUUUUAAUAAAAAUUUAUUAACAUAA